AGCUGCAGUAUCUUGACUGUACAAAGGUAGCAUAAUCAUUAGUUUUUUAAUUGAAAGCUGGAAUGAAUGGUUGAAUAAGGAAAUGACUGUCUCUUUUUAAUAAAGUUGAAUUUUAUCUUUAAGUUAAAAAGCUUAAAUUUUAUAGAAAGACGAGAAGACCCUAUAGAGUUUUAUAAAUUUUAAUGUUGAAUAUUUGAAGAUUAAAUUAUAUUCAAUUUUGAAUUUAUUUUGUUGGGGUGACACUUGAAUUUGAUUAACUUCUUGUUUUAAAAUCAUUGAUAAAUGAAUGAUUGAUCCUAAUUUAUGGAUUAGAAGAAUAAAUUACCUUAGGGAUAACAGCGUAAUUUUCUUGGAGAGUUCUAAUCGAUAAGAAAGAUUGCGACCUCGAUGUUGGAUUAAAGUUAAAAAUUGGUGUAGAAGCUAAUAAUUUA
rnacentral:rRNA from 1 species